rnacentral:rRNA from 1 species
UACGGAGGGUGCAAGCGUUAUCCGGAUUCACUGGGUUUAAAGGGUGCGCAGGCGGGACCUUAAGUCAGUGGUGAAAUCCCUUCGCUUAACGAAGGAACUGCCAUUGAUACUGAGGUUCUUGAAUCUAGUUGACGUUAGUGGAAUGUGUCAUGUAGCGGUGAAAUGCUUAGAUAUGACACAGAACACCGAUCGCGAAGGCAGCUAACGAAGCUAGUAUUGACGCUCAGGCACGACAGCAUGGGGAGCAAACAGG